GAUUACGUCAUCUGACAUUGAUUGUUGAUAAAAUAUUGGUGAAUUGAUUCGAUGUUUUUGGUGUUUUAACGAAUAUUUUACACUGACAACGUCUGCUUUGACAAAACUUAUAUAUAACUGGAUUAUUCGGGUUAGGCACUUCACCAUGCACUCUUGAUGUAAAGUACUCCAACAUUUGGGAUUAUGCCCAACAAGUGCACUUUUCCCAUCAUUCUCAACCGGUUGGUCCAAUAUGUUUGAGGACACCAAGAAUGUUCCAUGCGUUUGGUGUUUGUGUAGAGAGAUCAGGACUUCAUGGAAGUGUCAGUCUCAACAUGCUUGGUACUUUUAUAUCUGGAAAGUGAAAAACAAUGCAACAGGUUGUCUAAGUGUACUGUCCUGAAGUCAUCAAGAUGUGGGCACAAUAUCCUACCCAGAAAAUCCCUAGGAAGUCAUUUCUUAAGUUAAGCCCUCAAACUGUUAUCCAAAUACCACCAUUUUUGUGCAAGUGCAAUGGAGCCAAGUGUUAUAACAUGUAAAGAAUAUAUUAACUCUGUGGAGGUAAAAAUGUAUUUACUGAAACAAUUGCCUCCCAGAGGUCUUUUACUUGAAGUACAGUAAUGAUGCAGCAAGACAAUAGUAUCUAUUUGAACAAAUUAGGCAAUUCUUCAAAUCUGACAUAGCUAAAAUACUGUGUGGCCAAAACCAGUUAUCCCGAAAACAGAAAUAAAGUUGGAUAUUGACAAUUAUGUUAAUAAGGUGGAAAGAGAAAGAGCAGUCUUUUACUCUUGAGUAUAAUUGGAGUUCCUAUAACAUAAUGGUCCUGUAUGGACUGUCAUUAUUUUCUUUAUUUCAAAUAUAGUUUAUGAUACAAGUAGAUGCUUCAUAAGAUAAGACUGCAAGUGUGUUGCAUAACUGGUGCUCAAAGGACUAAUGCUAUAUUAACAAGUGUGUGGAUCAUUAUGCAAAUAUAUUAUUUAAUGGCUGCCUACAUUAUUUUUGGAUGUCAGUUUACCAGUUACUAAUUUCCAUCAUUUUUACAAAAAUUUUAUUAAAUUAAGUUUAGUGUAAUACAACAUUUGUCAUUUUACUCUAAGUUAUAGAAUUCUAUUGAACCUAUGCAUGUUAUGAAUUGAUCAACUGUCAACUUAUCUUAAGCUUUGAUCUAGAUUGAAAAUGACUGUAUGAAAAUGUAAAGUAACAUUAAGCUUUAGUACUUGUUGUCAAAUUUUAAACAUUUUAUAGUUGUAGAAUAUGAAAAAUACUUUAUCUAUAACAAUGAUAGGUCAGUUGAAUUUUUAUGUUAGUGUAGAAUCACAUUGUAAAUUAUCACCAAUCCUUAAAAUUGUUAAAAGAAGCAGCAAAAUCAAAGAAUAUUCAAUGGUAGCUAGGCAACCAAUAUUCCCUUCAGUUGGGAAGGAUUUUAAACAGGUGCAUCAUAAUAAAAAUACUUUAUAUGUUUGAUCACAUUGUAACUCUAUAAUUGAAAAAUAAUCAUCACUAAGUUAUAAAAUAUUAAAAUAUUGAACCUUAAAUGUACCUGAGAACAUGAUAUUAGAAGUAUCAUUUUUAGCUCGACUUUUCUAUGAAAAGGGGAGCUAUCCUACUCGCCCCGGCGUCGGCGUCGGCGUUGGCGUCACACCUUGGUUAAGUUUUUCGUACCACCCCACUUUAUUUCAGAAGUAUUACAAGUAUGGCUUUGAAACUUACCAUACUUGUUCACCAUCAUAACCUCCAUCUACAGACAAGAGUACAUAACUCUGUCAAGGUUUUUGACAGAAUUAUGGCCCUUUUUUGACUUAGAAAGUGUAUUGAGCUUGGUUAAGUUUUUUGUACCACCUCACUUUAUUUCAAAACCAUUGGAGGUAUUGCUUUGAAACUGACCAUACUUGUUUACCAUCACGACCUUCAUCAACAGACAAGAGGACAUAACUCUGUCAAGGUUUUUGACAGAAUUAUGCCCCUUUUUGACUUAGAAAAUACAUUGAAUAUGGGUAAAAUCCACUUAUUGCCUUAACCCUUUGAGAUAUUGCUUUGAAACUUUUAAUGCUAUUUCACAUCAUUACCCCCAUCUGUACGCAAGAGAAGGUAAAUCUGUCAAGGAUUUGUUUUAAAAAUUAAGGCCUUUUAUCGACUUAGAAUCUUGGUUAAGUUUUUUGUACCAGUCCACUUUUUGACUGAACUGUUUGAGAUAUUAAUUUGAAAGUUGGAAUACUUGUUUACAAUCAUGAUUCCCAAACAUGUCCAGGAGAAGGUAAUUCUGUCAAAGAUUUUAUUUGAAUUAUGGCCCUUAACUGUCAAUGUUUUGUAUUAUAGGCAAGCACUAAAAAACUUAAAAAAUCUAAAAAAAUUCAUUCCUAUCCACUGAACCUGCAGUGUUCAAGGGUAUCACACAAUUCAGUAAAAUAAUUCUUCACUAAAUAUCUUAAUGCUCAUGGCCAUUGUUCACUUUAAAAAUACAGAGAUUCUUGUAUUGCCUUUUACUGCAAAAACUUUUUUUAUUGGCAAGCAAUAAAAAAGUCGAGCGCGCUGUCUUACGGACAGCUCUUGUUAUUUUAUAUUAUGGAAUGGUGAGGCAGGCUGUUCUCUGAAUACCUUAUUAAGUUCAGUUACACAUUAUCUGUGGUACUGUUUUCAUUUUUUUAUAAUAGCACAAAUUGCUAUUUUGCAACUAAGUUGUAAUCUCCUGUAUGCCUGUAAAAAUUUAGAAAUUUAUAAAAAAAAAAUUAUUCAUUGGUUGCUUAGCAACUUAAUUAUAUGCAGAGACAGAUUUAAGUAAGGAACAUUUUUUGUAGGAAUUUUCUUUAUGUCAUUUCAAUUAAAUAUAAUGCUAGUCAAUUCAAAGUCCUUACAUUGUUGUAAAACAGUGUAGUUAACACCAGAUGUUACUGAACACCCUUUUAUGAAAUUAUGUAUAUUAUCUAUAUAAAUUCAAAACCUAUAGUAAAGUGAGUUUUAGGAUACUUUGAUCCAAGAACUAUUAUUAAGAUUAUAUUUGCAGUUUUAAUAGUCGUAAUUUGUUUUUUUGUAAUCAUGCUGCUUUGUUCAUGGUAUUUUGAGAUCUUUUUUAUUCAAACUUAAAAUUUGUAAAAUUUAAAAGGAAAUUAUGGAAGAUAUUGUGGUUGCUUGGCAACACUGAUUAAUUUUUACUUAUUGGUUAGGUAUUAUGUAAAUCAGUUAUACAGCAGAUAUAUGUAAUAUGGAAAGUAACAGUGAUUUGAUCAAAUGCUUAUUGGUUAUUGUAAAACAUAUGUAGAGCAAUAUACAUGGCAAAGAUACUGAGUUCUGCUAAAAUUUGCAUCACUUACUAACACUAGUCAAGUGUACAGAACAUGGAUUGUAUAUCGUCAAUGGAAAAUUAUUGAAUAGUAAUUAAUAGGCAUUGUUUAUAAUUUUUUUGAAAAUGUAUUUAUUUCUGCUGCUUUGUUAGCUGUAUUUUACCAAGAAAUUUGUAUAUUUUCAAAAUAAAUUACAAAAAUUUAGAAUAUUCCAUGGUUGCUAGGUAACAGAAUAU